rnacentral:rRNA from 1 species
GAUGAACGCUGGCGGCGUGCCUAAUACAUGCAAGUCGAGCGGACGGACGAGGAGCUUGCUUCUCUGAUGUUAGCGGCGGACGGGUGAGUAACGUGUGGAAACCGCCCUUAAAUGAGGGGUAAAUUUUGGGAAAACGGGAGAAAACACGGGAGAAGAUUUUGAACCGCGGGGUUCAAAGGAAAAUGACGGCGUUGCGGUAUCUAUUCGAGGGUUCUCCGCUGCUUGAGCUGGUUGGGAAGUUACAGGCUUACCAAGGGAAGGAUGCAUAGCCGACCGCAGGGGGUGGUAGGCCACCUUGGAAGGGGGACAGCGACCUGAGUCCUACGGGAGGCAGCAGUAGGGAAUCUUCCGCAGUGGGGGAAAGCCUGACGGAGCAACGCCGCGUGAGUGAUGAAGGUCUUCGGAGCGUAAUACUCUGUUAUUAGGGAAGAACAGAUGUGGAAGGAAAUGUGCACAUCUUGACGGUACCUAAUCAGAAAGCCACGGCUAACUACGUG